rnacentral:misc_RNA from 1 species
GAAUACACCAUAUCCCUAACAAUACCACCCCCUGAAAUUUGGCCUUGUCCUCAAGGCUGUAGUGCAAAUACAAGAGAGAUAAUGCUAGUAGUAGUUUGUGUAGCAACUCCAUUGGUUCACGCAAGACUGAAAAUAUUUGCAGACCACUUUGGGUAUGAUUGCAAUGGAAUUCAUCCCAUUCCCUGUAUGGCACAAAACAGACCCUUAACAACCCAUCUUCUGGAAUUGCUGCUGUUAAAUUUUUCUUAGGUUCUUCCAUCGAACUAGGUUCACAGUUGAGCAUCCAUAUCAUCUCAUCCUCUAUCCAAGCAAGUAUGUGGAUAUAAUAAACAGAGAUAAUAGAAAUUUGUUGUAUGCAAAUUUUCAUAAUUGCAUCCCCCUUCAAAGUUGGAAGAAAAAUUGCGACAAUGAAAUCCCAGAUUGUCCACACAUAAUGCCAGCAACAUCGUACAAGGAAUUUGGCACCGAAGCAGAUUGAGUUGUGAAGGAGUUCAAAUAGUGAAAAGGGGACAGAGGCAAGGGUAAUAAGAGAGCUCAGAUAAAAGACAUAAGUGCACAAAUCAGACUCAAGACCCAUGGAGAAUGGAACUGCGAAGGGAAUUUCCCACAAUCCAAACCGCAAAUCACAGAAAAUUACCUUAAUAUACCUACGUCCGAUAAUAGAAGGGCUACUAAAUUGCAGAAAUAUCCAUGGUUCAUAUGUGGAUGUCAAAGUUAAAGAAGCCUGACCUUCUCGGUUCCCGAGAUAUCUGCUCGCCAUUCUAAUUUGUGGAAACAGAGACAACACUGCUUCCUGAAUUGAUGGCAACAAAUUCCUUAGUUCGGUCACGUUGCAAGGCAGGAUAUCUAGAUUCAGUAAUCUGCCUUGCUACUGAUUGUAAACGCAGAGUAGGUUGGACUGGGUCUGGUGGGUGGGAUGGAGGCCUUUUAAAAUAUUGAAGGCUGGUGUGUAGUGGGUCAGCUAGAGGUCUUUGUCCAUCAAAAACAACUAGGCCUCUCUUAGAGAUCCCAGAGCUCGGCCCAAGCCCUACCUCAACUCUUUCCAUCGUCUUCUCCAGCCACUUCCCAAACAGAGAAGCACAUAAAGCUCUUGCCCUCUCCUCGUGCAAACAAUCUCUGUCCUUCCCACUGGUUAAAUUUCUUGUGCCAUUUUUCUUCCUUGCGUCCUUUUGCGAUCUUGGUGUCGAGUGCUGUAGACAUGGUGCAGCAGAAAACUCCAGUUCCUGUGUUGCUUUGGCGAUGGAACCUUCGACCAACUCCGUUUUUGAGUGCAUCUGAUUAACAUCCACAAGAUAUUCCCAGGGAGUGCCAUUUGUAGCUUCAACAAAUUGUCGGAGGAAUUCUGGUUUGAGUGUUCCCAUGAGAGAUGAGGGAAUUGAUGCUGAAGCCCAUGAAACCAGUCAAGGGCAGUUCCCUCCAUGCCAACUAGAAUCUUAUAGAUUUUCAUAUCAUCAUUAGUGCCACGAAUUUCAAAAUAUUUCUUUGCAUUCGCUAGCCAACCCAGAGGGUCAAAACCGACAAAAGAGGGAAAUUCCAAUUUCCUAAUAUAGCAACCAACCUCACUGGCGGCAAGUUGAAGACUUUGAUUAGCCAAACCCUUUGUAACGAGGUUUCAUCCAAGGGAAAAUGCAGUAAUGAUGUUGCCUACAUCGAUCAUUGCAUUGCCGGAAAUGAUGGUGGUUAAGAGAUUUUCUAUUGCAGAGAGCUUUGAGUAAAUUUGGGUAUUGUCCAUGCAGAGUUUAGUGAACCCUUCAUCUAACAAGGUAAGAUUCCUCUCCACCGAUUCUAUGUAAUUCUCCAUUGUGAUCUGAUGGGUUCGAGAUGGCAGGUCGGACCAAUUGAUGGAGUAAGGAAUCACAAAACAGAAAUUUAACUAAUGAAAACCGAACAAGAAAUGGUAGCAGGAUGAAGAAGAGACUUCUAUUCAAA